CAAUUCUAAACCGCGCGGCGAGU
rnacentral:miRNA from 1 species